rnacentral:rRNA from 1 species
UACGUAGGCAGCAAGCGUUGUUCGGAAUUAUUGGGCGUAAAGCGCGCGCAGGUGGUUCCUUAAGUCUGAUGUGAAAGCCCACGGCUCAACCGUGGAGGGUCAUUGGAAACUGGGGAACUUGAGUGCAGAAGAGGAAAGUGGAAUUCCAAGUGUAGCGGUGAAAUGCGUAGAGAUUUGGAGGAACACCAGUGGCGAAGGCGACUUUCUGGUCUGUAACUGACACUGAGGCGCGAAAGCGUGGGGAGCAAACAGG